ACAUUGGAGAUAAGUGAGUUGG
rnacentral:miRNA from 1 species